GAUACCUGUUCUCUCAUUAUGCUUUCUUCUUUUAAUCAGUAGUUUAAAGUUGUAAAGGUGAGCGCUUGAGGAGGCUGGAUAUCUAUGAGAACAGCGUGUACAGUUCCUCAGCAGCGAGAGAGCUGGAUCAGAAACCUGUUACUCAGCUGUUCAGAGGUGAUCGCUUGAGGAGGCUGUAUAUCUGACAGCACAGUUCCUCAGCAGUGAGCUGGAACAGAAACCUGUUACUCACCUGUAAAAGGCUCUGUGUAAUCGAGAAGGAAGCCUCAACUACAAUCCUCAGACUGGAGUAAAGAUGAUGGGAAAGGUUCUUCUUCACCUCCUGCUUUGCAGUCUUUCAGCCAAGUUCUGCUCACAAGUCAGCUCCCGUGGUGGAUCUGUGAGACAGAGGGAGAGAGUGUGUGUGUGUGUGUGUGUGUGUGUGUUGUUUUGGCAGGUGUAGCCUCCAGGGUAAGGUCGAGAUGGAAGGAGUGUGUGUCCCGAGAGAGAGAGCUGGAGGCAGGUGUUAUAUCGCUCUGUCCAUCAAUGCUUCAUCACUCCAACUGACACUUCUCACUGACUCUCUCACUUGCUGCCUUCAGAGUAGGCAUCAUCAUUUUCAUCCUUAUCAUCAUCAUGACCAUCAUCAUAAUCGUUAUCAUAAUAACUGGUAGCAGUAACAGCUGUAGCAUCACAUUUCAUUUUAAUAUGCACAACAGUAAUCUAACACUAACCAUGCUUAUCUAAAACUAAAAAGCAAUUUUAUGUACAUUUUCAUUAAAAUAUUAAUAAAAACAACAACAAAUACUUAAAAAAGUUAAUAUUUUUUGGAUAGCAUGGUGGCUUUCCAAACAUGGUUAGCAUGUUUACCUCU